GAUGAAUGCUGGCGGCGUGCCUAACACAUGCAAGUCGAGCGGCAGCGCGGGGUGCUUGCACCCUGUCGGCGAGCGGCGAACGGCUGAGUAACGCGUAGGAAUUUGCCCCAAAGUGAGGAAUAACUGCCCGAAAGGGUAGCUAAUGCCGCAUAUGGUCUUCGGAUUAAAGGAUUUAUCCGCUUUGGGAGAAGCCUGCGUUGGAUUAGGUUGUUGGUAGGGUAAUGGCCUACCAAGCCGACGAUCCAUAGCUGGUCUGAGAGGAUGAUCAGCCAGACUGGAACUGAGGCACGGUCCAGACUCCUACGGGAGGCAGCAGUGAGGAAUCUUCCACAAUGGGCGAAAGCCUGAUGGAGCAACGCCGCGUGAAGGAUGAAGGCCUUCGGGUUGUAAACUUCUUUUAUGAGUGAAGAAUAUGACGGUAACUCAUGAAUAAGCACCGGCUAACUACGUG
rnacentral:rRNA from 1 species